ACAAAAAGAGAAAAGUCUGCUACUUCCGCCAGCUGUUCAGUAUCCAUCUCUCUAGGAAGCACGGACACGGCUCAUCUCUUAUUGUUGUACAUGUGUUCUACACAGAUACUCGUCGGACACGCCUAAAUACGUAUGGGACAUGCCGAAAUAUAUAUACAAAAAAAGGUUAAACACGGUCCCGGCACGAUCACAACACAUG
rnacentral:lncRNA from 1 species